UGGGAUCGCUAGCUACCCAUACUGAGACUUCAAGGUUUUUUAUCACAGCACCUCAAGGUGGCAGAGUGACAUCUCAGCCUGGACAGAAUAUGGGCCUGUCCUCUGACCUGCUAUCUCGGAUGGAUGGUGAUCAGAGUCCAGCAGCGAGCGGAAGCGCAGG